AUGCACGCUGGCGGCGUGCCUAACCCCUGCCAGUCGAACGGAGAUUACGGACGGAAGUUUUCGGAUGGAAGCCUGUAAUUCUUAGUGGCGGACGGGUGAGUAACGCGUGGGCAACCUGCCCUAUACAGGGGGAUAGCAGCUGGAAACGGCUGGUAAGACCGCAUAAGUCGGUUAAAUCGCAUGAUUUGAUCGGGAAAUGAGCAAUCAGGUAUAGGAUGGGCCCGCGUCCGAUUAGCCAGUUGGCAGGGUAAAAGCCUACCAAAGCGACGAUCGGUAGCCGGACUGAGAGGUCGGACGGCCACAUUGGGACUGAGACACGGCCCAAACUCCUACGGGAGGCAGCAGUGGGGGAUAUUGCACAAUGGAGGAAACUCUGAUGCAGCGACGCCGCGUGAGUGAAGAAGUAUUUCGGUAUGUAAAGCUCUAUCAGCAGGGAAGAUGAUGACGGUACCUGACUAAGAAGCCCCGGCUAACUACGUG
rnacentral:rRNA from 1 species